UCCUAGUUAACCUAGGCAGUAUCAUUAGAGUUCCCACCCUAAGUGUUGGCAACUAAUGACAAGGGUUGCGCUCGUUGCUGGACUUAACCAAACACCUCACGGCACGAGCUGACGACAGCCAUGCAGCACCUAUACAGCGGUCCUUACGGAAGAUCCUCUUUCAAGGACUGUCCCCUGUAUUUCGAGCCUGGGUAAGGUUCUGCGCGUUGCAUCGAAUUAAACCACAUGCUCCACUGCUUGUGCGGGCCCCCGUCAAUUCUUUUGAGUUUCACCCUUGCGAGCGUACUCCUCAGGCGGUAUACUUAUCGCGUUAGCUACGACACAAUCAGGGUUGAGCCCAAUUACAUCAAGUAUACAUCGUUUACGGCAAGGACUAC
rnacentral:misc_RNA from 1 species